rnacentral:rRNA from 2 species
UCUGGUGUCAGCCGCCGCGGUAAAACCAGCACCUCAAGUGGUCAGGAUGAUUAUUGGGCCUAAAGCAUCCGUAGCUCGUUUUGUAAGUUUUCGGUUAAAUCCAUGCGCUCAACGUAUGGGCUGCCGGGAAUACUGCAUAACUAGGAAGUGGGAGAGGUAGACGGUACUCGGUAGGAAGGGGUAAAAUCCUUUGAUCUAUUGAUGACCACCUGUGGCGAAGGCGGUCUACCAGAACACGUUCGACGGUGAGGGAUGAAAGCUGGGGGAGCAAACCGGAUUAGAUACCCGGGUAGUCCCAGCUGUAAACUAUGCAAACUCAGUGAUGCAUUGGCUUGCGGCCAAUGCAGUGCUGCAGGGAAGCCGUUAAGUUUGCCGCCUGGGAAGUACGUACGCAAGUAUGAAACUUAAAG